rnacentral:rRNA from 1 species
UACAGAGGAGCCAAGCGUUGUCCGGAUUGACUGGGCGUAAAGCGCACGCAGGCGGUUGCGCGCGUGGGGUGUGAAAUCUGGCCGCUUAACGGCCAGGCGCCAUCCCAUACGGCGCGACUGGAGCGAUGCAGAGGUCGGUGGAAUUGCCGGUGUAGUGGUGAAAUGCGUAGAGAUCGGCAGGAACACCCAGGGGGAAACCCGCCGACUGGGCAUCUGCUGACGCUGAGGUGCGAGAGCGUGGGGAGCGAACCGG